UACGGAGGGGGCUAGCGUUGUUCGGAAUUACUGGGCGUAAAGCGCGCGUAGGCGGACCUGCAAGUCGGGGAUGAAAGCCCGAGGCUCAACCUCGGAACUGCCUUCGAUACUGCGGGUCUCGAGUCCGGGAGAGGUGAGUGGAAUUCCUAGUGUAGAGGUGAAAUUCGUAGAUAUUAGGAAGAACACCAGUGGCGAAGGCGGCUCACUGGCCCGGUACUGACGCUGAGGCGCGAAAGCGUGGGGAGCAAACAGG
rnacentral:rRNA from 1 species